rnacentral:tRNA from 1 species
GCAGGGGUUCCCGAGCGGCCAAAGGGGCGAGACUUAAGAUCUCGUGGCUUAGUGCCUUCGAGAGUUCGAAUCUCUCCCCCUGCA